GAGAGAGACAUGCGCAGUGAGUGCCUCCCGUCUCUUCUACCCGAACCCCCCCUCCCCCCCCCAGCAGAGAGACCCCAGCAGCAGCAGCAGCUGAUGAUGAAGAGAGAGGCAGUGGCAGAGGGGGGGCACCUUUUAUUUCUAUUUUUAAAGGGACAGGACACUAAUUUUACCCCACUUCAACCUUGAAUUGAGGGGGGUGGGGGGAAGGCGGCUGAGUUCCUUCCCCCACCCUCCAGCCCUGAGACCUGAGAGGGGGAUUGAGCCUGAGAGAGAAGAAGAAGGAGUUUCUUCUUCUUCGAAAACCCCCAUCCACGACUCCUACCCCCUCACCCCUCCACUAGCCUCCCUCCCGAGCCCCCUCCACCCUCCUCCUCUUUGGCCGUGAGAGGAGGAGAGAAAGAGACCAAAAGCCUCUUAGCAACACAGACCCUUCUCUGCUGCUGCUGCUGCUGCUACUGCUGCUGCUGCUUGGCCCUGGCUGGAGACAUCUCACUACACCCAGGAGCAGCCACUUCCCCAGCUCUCCUCCUCCUUCGCCUCCUCCUCCUCCACUCCCCCCCCUUUAUUACCCUUUGUGUCAUCCUCCACAGCUCCAGGGAAGGCACUCAAAAGUGGGGGGCAGGAAAGAUGCUUAUUGAGGAUGCCAGUUUCUGCAUAUGGGAAGUAGAUAUUGAAGGUUAUAUGGUUUACAGACAAGAUCUUUAAAAUAUAGAUACUCAAGAGAGAAGAGGCACUCCCUUAUAGGGACUCAUAAAGGCAUAGAGCAUCUAGAGAUUUACUGCCUCCAUUACGCUGCUGGCUCUCACAGCACUUGUUAUGUUUUUAUCAGUUUCUCUCCAGAAGGUAGGAAUUGUGUUUUUUCUGUACGAAUUCUUUAUAUAAUUAUAGUUUUCUUGACUGUGAACUUAAUUUUUUUUAAAUAUGAAAAGCAUCUGACACCUAAAGAAUAAAAUGCCAGGUGUCUCCAAACAGUUAAGACGUAUAAACACAUUGCCUUUAAAAAAUAUUUCUAUUAUAAAAUUAAUAGAUGUUCAUUAAGAAAAAAAGAUAAGACAAACAGAAAAGUAUAGUAAUCUAUCACCUUGUGAUAACUACUCUUUAUAUUUUGUUGUAUGUCUUUCUGAAUUCAUUGAUAUAUUUGUAUACAAUGUAUAAUAUAUGUAUCCAUAUAAUAUUAUGAUUAGGAUUGGUAACAAUAGGAUAUAAAUGUUCUUUGGCUAGAUUGCUUCUUUACUUAGCAACUUAUUGCCUUAUGUGUAAUGUCAGUAAAUAUCAUCUGCAUUUCCAUUAUUAAUGGUUAUAUAAUAUUCCAGUUUAAGAACAUAACAUAAAUUAUGUAACCACUUUCUAAUUAUUGAGUAUAUGGAAUCUUCCAGGUUUUUUCCUGUGUUAAAUAUGACUUCAGUGAACAUUCUUGUACAUACAUGUUUGCAUUUGUGUCUAGUGAUUUUUUAGGACAGUUUCCAAAAAAGUAAGUGUUGCAGACUCUUAGUUCGUAAGCAUGCUCUCUGAUAGGAGGAUUCCAUGGCCUAUAACAUAAAGAACCACUGUUCACCAUCUUGGAGAAUACCUAUGUAUAGUAGUAACAAAGGUCUGAGAAAUCAAACUUAUUUGACUAUAGAAUGUUUUCUUAAGAUAACAUGUGUCUACAGGAUGGAGAAACUGUGGUGUAUGGAGGCAGGGGACAAUAUGGGAAAUUGCUAUACUUAACACUCAGUUUUGCUGUGAGCCUAAAAUUUCUCUGAAAAAUAAAUUUUAUUUAAAAAAAAGGGAAAGAAAAGUUUUUGAAUGCCAUUGUAUACAUUUACAUUUAAAAUUAAAUUUAGACUUUUACAUACACACACACAAAAUAACAUCAGAACAUAUCAACAUCCCACUGAACACUUUGGAAAAUGCUAGCUUAUGGUAUAUUCUUUUAAAUGGAAUUGGGAGAUCAAAGGGGAAAUAUAUGGAAAGGCUCUACCAAUUUGCAUUUCCACCAACAGUGCAUCAGAGUGCCACUUUCUCUGUAAUUUUGCCAUUGGUAUUAACCAAUGCCAUUGGUAUUCAAUUUAAAUAAAUCUGAAAUGAG
ensembl:lncRNA uncharacterized LOC115520475